rnacentral:rRNA from 1 species
UACGGGGGGAGCAAGCGUUGUUCGGAUUUACUGGGCGUAAAGGGCGCGUAGGCGGCCACCGCAAGUCGGUUGUGAAAUCUCUGGGCUUAACCCAGAAAGGUCAAUCGAUACUGCGGGGCUAGAGUGCAGAAGGGGCAACCGGAAUUCUCGGUGUAGCGGUGAAAUGCGUAGAUAUCAAGAGGAACACCUGCGGCGAAGGCGGGUUGCUGGGCCGACACGUGACGCUGAGGCGCGAAAGCGUGGGUAGCGAACAGG